CAAUAACAGUAAUGAUAUUGGGUCCCAUGGAGGAAGGAGCCAGGUGCUCAGGGAGACAGCAGUGAGGCAGCAGAACUGGGAAGCUGCCAGUGAUCCCUGAGAGGAGUGGUGCUGAAAUCUGAAACAACAGUGAGUAUCAGAAGAGAAAGCACAGCAGGAAGAUGAAAAAGCUAAGAGCAACAGAGACAGCAUCACUGUUGCCAUGGUAAAAAUGGGCAUCUAAUGAGGCAGGCAGGACCCUACAAGUGACAGACAAUGCUCAGCUAGCCUUGUUGUUCCAGAGAAUUCUAAUAAUGCAUUUGGGAGGAACUAGAACAUCCAACAGAAUCCUGUCAUAGCAAGCUCAGAAGUAUUCUUUUCAGUUAAAGUCCACAGGAUAGUCAUCCAUCUGCAGUGCCUUUAAUAACUAACCAAGAGGCAGGAUUACAGAAACAGAUACAUCUUUUCAAGUCUACAGCUGAGCCUUUCUGUACCUAACAGUGUGGCAGUGCAUCAACCCUUCCCCUGAAUGCAACUCUGAAUGCAGCCACGGGAGGUGGGACUCUUUGAGGGAUUUAGUGAACUAUCCCAAUCAGAGUAAUCUGUUUUAAUGUAUUACAUUAUCUUUAAA